GUCCACGCCGUAAACGAUGUGUGCUAGCCGUUGGUGACCUUUUGGUCGUCGGUGGCGCAGCUAACGCGAUAAGCACACCGCCUGGGGAGUACGGCCGCAAGGUUAAACUCAAAGGAAUUGACGGGGCCCGCACAAGCGGUGGAGCAUGUGGUUUAAUUCGAAGCAACGCGCAGAACCUUACCAGCCCUUGACAUGGACGCCGCCGGAGGCAGAGACGCCUCCUUCGGUUCGGCCGGGCGUCACACAGGUGCUGCAUGGCUGUCGU
rnacentral:rRNA from 1 species